ensembl:rRNA 5S_rRNA 5S ribosomal RNA
GUCUAUGGCCAUACCACCCUGAACGCACCCGAUCUUGUCUGAUCUCAGAAGAUAAGCAGGGUCGGGCCUGGUUAGUACUUGGAUGAGAGACUGCCUGGGAAUACCGGGUGCUGUAGACC